rnacentral:lncRNA from 12 species
ACACAUUUGGCUGUCUGUUUAUUUUUGUUAGAAAGACAGACUUGUUUUUCUGCCAGGGGACUCUCUAACACCCUCUGCCUCCAACAUCUGCACAGAAUAGAAUGCUUUGGAGGGUCACAUGAGAAAAACACUCCCUCUGAAGGGGGCGAGGAAGAUAGUAGUGUUUCUGUGUGAAGCAACAGAGUAUGUAAGAGAAAAUGCCAACCAGGCCACACCAAGGAGCCAUUGUGAUGGCCGUGCUUCAGCAGAAGAGGGAUCUGAGGCCAGCGAACAAAGGUGAAGGGGACACUGCAGGACUCUCAGCUCCUGCGCAGUCAACAUCUGCCGUACAGAACACAGCACCAUUCUGCGGCGUUCAAUAUUCUCCUUGUGUGCCAGAGCCUAAAAGGGUCACCUGCUGCAUGAAGGAUCGGGACACUCUCUGCAGCACCUUGCUGCUUGCUUGGCAGAAAGCAGAGUCAUCAAUAAACAUCCACUGAAUUGGGUAUGUUCCUCCGUGCUUGUUGGACUAACAAUAGAUUUGCAGGGCUGGUUCCUGGGGCUUAGCAGAAAUGAUCCUACUACUCAGAUGCUUUGCAAGGUGAAGAUGGGUGUGUGGCCAGAAAUGCAGUGGUGGUUCCCAUAACACCCUCCCAGGGUGACAAGCGUGGGUUAUAAUACUUGGAAAAAAGGAAGAUAGGAAAUCAAUAUACGAUCCUACCUUUUCCCCAAUGCUGCAUUCGACUAUUCAGUUCUACUCUAGGCUGUUUACCAUCAAAUACACUAUGGGUUUGAACUCAGUUUUGGCCAAUGGGUGAUCUGGAUGUGCCAAGAGGCGUUUCUCAGUUUUCUAAUCUGUAGAAUGGGAAUUAAUUUUUCUGUCUUGGCAGUAGUUAUCCCCAUGAUUGAAUAAAGGCAGUCUUCAACAUGAUUUUGUAAAGCA